rnacentral:rRNA from 1 species
UACGUAGGGGGCUAGCGUUGUCCGGAUUUAUUGGGCGUAAAGAGCGUGUGAGCGGCCAGGUAGGUCUGGUGUGAAAACUCGAGGCUUAACCUCGAGAUGUCAUCGGAAACCAUUUGGCUAGAGUCCGGAAGAGGAGAGUGGAAUUCCUGGUGUAGCGGUGAAAUGCGCAGAUAUCAGGAAGAACACCAAUGGCGAAAGCAGCUCUCUGGGACGGUACUGACGCUGAGACGCGAAAGCGUGGGGAGCGAACAGG